rnacentral:rRNA from 1 species
AUCUAUGCCUAUACCACCCUGAACGUGCCCUAUCUCGUCUGAUCUUGGAAGCUAAGCAGGGUCGGGCCUGGUUAGUACUUGGAUGGGAGGUCUACAAUGGACCCAUGUGCUUUCAAGU